rnacentral:rRNA from 1 species
CAGGGAUUGCCCUAGUAACGGCGAGUGAAGCGGCAACAGCUCAAAUUUGAAAUCUGGCCCUAGUGGUCCGAGUUGUAAUUUGUAGAGGAUGCUUUUGGCGCGGUGCCUUCCGAGUUCCCUGGAACGGGACGCCUUAGAGGGUGAGAGCCCCGUACGGUUGGACACCAAGCCUCUGUAAAGCUCCUUCGACGAGUCGAGUAGUUUGGGAAUGCUGCUCUAAAUGGGAGGUAAAUUUCUUCUAAAGCUAAAUACCGGCCAGAGACCGAUAGCGCACAAGUAGAGUGAUCGAAAGAUGAAAAGCACUUUGAAAAGAGGGUUAAAUAGCACGUGAAAUUGUUGAAAGGGAAGCGUUUGCGACCAGACCUUUUCCUAGCGGAUCAUCCGGUGUUCUCACCGGUGCACUUCGCUAGGCUUAGGCCAGCAUCGGUUUCUGUGGGGGGAUAAAAGCUCGGGGAACGUGGCUCCCUCGGGAGUGUUAUAGCCCCUUGCAUAAUACCCUCACGGGGACCGAGGACCGCGCUUUUGCAAGGAUGCUGGCAUAAUGGUCGUCAACGACCCGUCUUGAAACACGGACCAAGGAGUCGAACAUUUGUGCGAGUGUUUGGGUGUUAAACCCUCACGCGUAAUGAAAGUGAACGGAGGUGAGAGCCCUUACGGGUGCAUCAUCGACCGAUCCUGAUGUCUUCGGAUGGAUUUGAGUAAGAGCAUAACUGUUCGGACCCGAAAGAUGGUGAACUAUGCGUGGAUAGGGUGAAGCCAGAGGAAACUCUGGUGGAGGCUCGCAGCGGUUCUGACGUGCAAAUCGAUCGUCAAAUCUGCGCAUGGGGGCGAAAGACUA